ACUUGUUCAAUCAAGGUCAAAAUUCAGCAAAUUAAUGGUGGCUCUUGACACAAAUCGAAUGCAUGUGCUUGAUUUCUCACUAAUCUAAGUAUUCUGAUCAUAAGGAACCAUAUCAACAUGGACACGAGCAUGGAAGGACAAUGGGCCAAGGGCAAUUAUAGAAGCUAUGCACGAACUCGGACGCACGAGGUUGUACGAAUCACGGGCGGUUAUCACGAGGAGUAGAGAUCGAAGACCGAGUCACAAGAUUGUACGGGAAUAGUUGAGUAUGU